rnacentral:rRNA from 1 species
UACAGAGAGUGCAAACGUUGUUCGGAAUCACUGGGCGUAAAGCGCACGUAGGCGGAUUUCUAAGUCAGGGGUGAAAUCCUGGAGCUCAACUCCAGAACUGCCUUUGAUACUGGGAGUCUUGAGUUCGGGAGAGGUGAGUGGAACUGCGAGUGUAGAGGUGAAAUUCGUAGAUAUUCGCAAGAACACCAGUGGCGAAGGCGGCUCACUGGCCCGAUACUGACGCUGAGGUGCGAAAGCGUGGGGAGCA